rnacentral:rRNA from 1 species
CAUGCCUACGGGGGGCAGCAGUGAGGAAUAUUGGUCAAUGGGCGGGAGCCUGAACCAGCCAAGUCGCGUGAGGGAAGACGGUCCUAUGGAUUGUAAACCUCUUUAGGCGGGGAGCAAUGCCGGGCACGCGUGCCCGGAGGGAGAGUACCCGCAGGAUAAGCAUCGGCUAACUCCGUGCCAGCAGCCGCGGUAAUACGGAGGAUGCGAGCGUUAUCCGGAUUUAUUGGGUUUAAAGGGUGCGUAGGCGGAUUUUUAAGUCAGCGGUAAAAUGUCCGGGCUCAGCCCGGGCCGGCCGUUGAAACUGG